rnacentral:lncRNA from 1 species
AAGUCAUUUUUUCCCUCCUAAACCUCCAGGCCUCUGACUGGAGAGGCUGCCACCAAGGCCUCUGACAUGCCCUGGAGACAAUUUCCCCAUUGUCUGGGUGAUUAACAUUUGGGUCCCCAUUACUCAUAGGGGUCCAGUUUCAUUCCUAUGCAUGUGGAUAUCCAGUUUUCCCCAGGGCUAUUUAAUGAAGAGACUGCCCUUUCUCCAAUGAAUAUUCUUGGCAGUACUUUUUCAGGUUGCAUUUACACCCACAAAAACUCAAUGCGAACAACUGAGCGAAUGAUUAUUUCCACUUAGGAAGAGUUUAGGAGACAGUAUUAUAAACCCACUAAAAUUCUACAUUUCCCACAGAUCCUCAAUGUCCCACACCUAUGUUAACAAGGGUUCUCUGAACUCGUUUAGAGAAGCUUUUGGUUUCCUACAAGAAAAACACAUAUUUAGGAUUUAUUUCAUAAAUCCAGAACAAAUUUGAAAGCUAACAUUAAGACAAAAGAUUUAAGCUAAAAUACCUAAUGAUGCUGCCAUGUGAAGAAGGAUGUUGAUAUGGUUUGGCUGUGUCCCCACCCAUAUCUCAUCUUGAAUUGUAGUUCUCAUGAUUCUUACGUGUGGUGGGUGGGACCCCGUGGGAGGUAAUUGAAUCACGGGGGUAGGUCUUUCCCAUGCUGUUCUUGUGAUGGUGAAUACGUCUCAUGAGAUCUGAUGGUUUUAUAAAGGGGAGUUCCCCGC